rnacentral:lncRNA from 1 species
CAUUCAAUGCCAGCUCAUGAAAGCAGCUGUGGGCUGUACCCUGCAAAGCCACAGAAGUGGAGCUGCCCAAGGCCUUGGGAGCCCACCCCUUGCAUCAGCAUAUCCUGAAUGGGAGACAUGGAGUCACAGGAAAUGUGGGAGUUUUAAGAUUAAAUGCCUGCCCUGCUCAGUUUGGGACUUUCAUUGGACCUGUAGCCCCUUUGUUUUGACCAAUUUCUUCCAUUUGUAACAGGAACAUUUACCCAAUGCCUGCACCUUCACUGUAUCUUGGAAAUAACUAACUUUUUUAUUAUUUUAUAGGCUCAUUGGUGGAAGGAACUUGCCUUGUCUCAGCUGUCAUGUAAGACAUGCUGCCUUGCUUCCCCUUCACCUUCCACCAUGAUUCUAAGUUUCCUGAGGUCUCUCCAGCCAUGCAGAACUGUGAGUCAAUUAAACCCCUUUUGUUAAUAAAUUACCCAGUCCCAGGUAGUAUCUUUAUAGCAGUGUGAAAUGAACUAAUACAGCACAGAAACCAUAGUUGCUCAGCUUUCCUUUUAAGAGAGUUUGGGAGCCAGAGGCUGUUAUUGACUCUUUUCAGACAAAAUUCUAAGAUUUUCCUUGCAGUAGUUCCAGCUUCAAUAUCUUAGAUAACUGCUUCAUGAAGCCUGUGUCAAAACAUACUCCCAAUGGACUAUUGAGAGAAUUGUAGAAUAAAAUUGUAGCAUUCUAGGGUUAGCACUCUAACUCUUUCUCUUUGAAGCAUAUUCCAUCAAAUAUAUCCUAAUACAAACACAUUUCAAUGUAAGACAAAGGGCAAUAAUAAACAUACCUUAAGCAAUAAGUGCUUAUAGUUUCCCCCUCUUUGAAUGGGAAGACUGUAGUCACUACUCUGUGAGAAUCCAUUAUAUGCUGUUGUUUUGUUUUAAAAAUGCUUGUUUUUUGUUUAUUAUUGUUUGUUUCAGUUUAUUAUUUUCCCACAUGAGACAAUAGUUAAUUUAAAAAUGAGCUUUUAUUCAUGUCUUUGAGACAGCCUCAUUAAAUCUUUUAGGACAUUAAAUUUUCCACCUUUUAUUUUCCUUUUAAUAAUAUGACAAAUCUGUGGGGUUUUGCCUGAGCUAGACAAUGUGGCAUUUAUUUAUUUAUUCAGAAGCAUUUUCAGGGACCACUUGAAAAAGUUUGUUUCUAAAAUCCUUAAUAAUGUUAUCCUAAUCCAUCAUGUUACUUGCUAUUUGCAUAGUCAUUUCAUUGGAUAGUUUAUGAAAAAUGGAAGGGAAAGUAUUUUCUUACAGUGCCAUUUUUCACAAGACUCACUUCCUGAUGAGAACAUGAGAAGCAGUUUCUUCCUGAGACCCACUUUAGUUUGUCCCAACCUUCUGAAGAGACAUGGGGCUGCCCUGACAGUCUGCUGAUUUUGUACAGUGACCACUAUCCCUGUCUGCUCUAGUCUUUUUUCACUUUGACUCUGUGAAGACCAUCUUCUGGAAAGAAUGGACAUUUCAGUCUAGUCAGCCAAGAAAACAAGCUGCCCAAGUUUCUGUCACACUCAAAGCUUCUAUGAGUCAUUGAAUUUGCACUUCUUUUGUCACCUCUUCCCAAGCCCCUUAUGAUCUUAACAGGGCAUGUCCAAACUUGCCAGAGCAUAUUCAUGAAUUAUCUAAAGAAUUCCAUUGUUAUGGUCUGAAUAGUGUUCCUCAGAAUUCAUAUGUCAAAGUCCUGAUCCCCAGUACCCUCAGAAUGUGACUGUAUUUGGAGAUAAGACCUUUAAAGGGAUAAUUAAGGUAAAAUGGGGUCAUAUGUGCACACCCUAGUUCAAUAUGACUGGUGUCUUUACAAGAAGAGAAGAUUAAGACAAAGACAUGCACAGAGGGAAGACCAUGUGAAGACACUGGGAAAAGAUGAUGUGUUAGUCCAUUUCCUAUUGCUAUGACAGAAUACCACAGACUGGGAAAUUUAUUUAAAAGAGAGAGAGAGAGAUUUAUUUGGCUCACAGUUCUAGAGACUGGGAAGUCCAACAGCAUGAUGACAAUAUCUGCUUGGCAUCUGGUGAAGGCCUUCUUACUGUGUCAUCACACACUGGAAAGGCAGAAGGUAUCACAUGAUGGGAGAGGGUAAGAGAGAGUGAGACAGAGAGAAAGAGAGAAUCAUAUUCCCACAAUAAUGGCAUUGACCUAAUCACCUCUUAAAGGACCCACCUCUCAACACUGUUACAAUAGCAAUUAAAUUUUAGCAUGAGUUUUGAAAAGAAUAUUUAAACCAUAGCAGCCAGCCAUCUAUGAGCCAAAAACAGAGACCUCAGAAAGAAUCAACCCUGACAACACCUUAAUCUUGGACCUCUAGCCUCCAGAGCUGUGAGAAAAUUAACUUCUGUUGUUUAACAAAAAUUCUGUUGUUUAAACCACCCAGUCUGUGGUAAUUGGCUAUGGCAGCUCUUGAAAAUUAAUACAAUUAUUUCUCUCUAACUCAACUUUGAACACCUAUGAGAGGCUGAGGUAAACUGGCAAAAGGUAAGACUGGAGAGAAAGUCUUGUGUAAGAUUAU